UACGGAGGGGGCUAGCGUUGUUCGGAAUUAUUGGGCGUAAAGGGCGCGUAGGCGGCCGAUCAAGUCGGGGGUGAAAGCCUGUGGCUCAACCACAGAAUUGCCUUCGAUACUGUUUGGCUUGAGACCGGAAGAGGUAAGUGGAACUGCGAGUGUAGAGGUGAAAUUCGUAGAUAUUCGCAAGAACACCAGUGGCGAAGGCGGCUUACUGGUCCGGUUCUGACGCUGAGGCGCGAAAGCGUGGGGAGCAAACAGG
rnacentral:rRNA from 1 species